CCCAUCGUGUAUUUAACCAUAUGAAAUGUCCUUCUUGGUUUUAUGUCAGUAAGGUGAGCCAGGACACUGACACUGGCUCUCAACAACACCCCACUGUGGACGCGUCAACCUUUCACCCAGGUUGUUCCAAUCGAUGGUAGGUGUCAGAAUAUUCCUGCCUGUCCAUCCGGAGGCUUCCUCCUCGCCUGCAGGCCAGAGACACCCUGAAACGAACGAUAUCAAAGGUGUCAGUCAUGGAGUUCUCCAUGUCCGUCCUUUAUCUUUCAGCCCUGAGGAAAGGAUGAGAUGAGCUUACUGGUUUUCCUCCACACCUGAGCACCACGGGCACA